AAUUUUACGUAUAUAAGUAUGUAUACAUACUUAUAUAUAUACUUACAUGUAAGGCCAGUAUACUGGCCUUACGAGAUCUUGUAACAGUAUUUGCUAAGAACCACAAAUGUUGCACCAGAGACACCUUACAUUUUGGGAAAAGUCUGUAAGAUUUUGGGUACAAUAAUGCAUGAAAUAUCUUUACAAAUUUGGGUUCACGUAUCAAAUUUUCAUAGCAGUUGCAUUUUUCAAAGUAGUAAAUGUGAAAUAUGUGCAUAGGUAUAUUCCAGACCAUUUUAUCAAGACGAUUCACUCAUGUUUUUGUAAACUGUGCAAGUUUUGAAAAAUACUUUGAUGAAUUUGUAAAAUCAUCAUUACUAAAUAGAUAACUUGGAUCAUAUCUAAUUAACAAGUUUCGAGUUUUCAUGUUUCAUACAAUUUUUAUCUGGCGUUAAAAUUGCCCAAUUUAAUUUUUGUAAUAAUAUUAUGCAAAUCUUUUAAAACAAUUUUAAAAUCUUUCGUAAAAAAUUUGUAUGAAUAUUUCAUGUCCUUUACGUCCUUUGCAGAUUUUUUCCGGGAGAUAUUUUCCGAGGUGAUUGUUUCCGGUUACGCCUUUGCGUAUAUAUCAAAAUGAUAUGAAUUUUUGUACAAACGUAUAUAACGUGACUAAUCUAAAACAGACAUAAGUUAUGUCUCUAUUUUUUGCUCGAAGUAUUUAGUCCAACACUGAAAUUUAUUGCUUAAUGUGCUAAAAAUAUAUUAUUUCAAUGUAUUAUUGACAUUUUCCUGUUUUUUUCAGGAAUUCAAGUUUUUCCGGAAGGUCGUCAUCGCCAUUUUCUGUCUGCUUGCAAUCGCCUUUGGAGCUCACGGGACACUCAUACAAUUGGGACUCCCAUAUAUUUAUAAAUAUGGACCUUCAUGUGGUAUACCGCUCUAUGCUAACUGGGCCAGACGGUACUGGCAAAUUGAUACUGAUGAUGAGGAUGAAAAAUUAUUGGAUUGUGAAAGAAAUACAACAUGCCAGUGUGCCGUAUCCAUAGGGGAUUUAGAAUUUUACGGGCUACAGUUUUUCCUGAGCAUGUCGUACAACUUGACCCAGGCAUUCGCCACCACGCUCAUAGUGAUUGGGGCAUUAACUCUGAUUGACGCCACGUAUGAAUUCACAUCCAAACUGAGAAAAUUGUUGGCGCAAGAGUUCUACAAUGUCUUCCAAGGGAACGAAGUCAUCAACAAUGUUAUCAGCCCGCUCGUUUUCUUCUUUUGGAUUCUGUCCAUGUCAUCUCCCGGGAGCUUGGUGGUCGAGGCACGAAAAGAUGGUACGAAAAAGCUGGCUACUGCUACCAGAUCUUGAUGAAUGUCAUCUUUUUCGGGGUAUCAGCCCAAAUCUGUGAAAAGAUGGGGGAAUUUAAGGACUUCUUAAACAAUGAGAGCGUGGUUGCGGGCCAUUCUCGAAAGGUGCGUAUGGACCUUAUCCAAGAGUUGAAUGAGCAACCAGUUGGCGUCCGAGGAUUGAGGAAGUUUGUCAUUGAUAAUGGGUUUCUCUCAACGAUGUUGGGGAUCCUUAUCACCCUAUCCGUAAUCGUGUUGGAUUCAUAUCUCUAUACGUAUGAAUAACUUAAACGUGCAAUGGUAUACGUAUAUGUAGUCAAGACUAGAAUUGUUCACAGUUUACAUAUGUCAACAUUUAAAAAUACUUAACAAAUAAUUAACUAAACAUUGUGUAACGUUAAUAAUGCAGGCAAGUUAAUUCUCGGGAGCAAAAUUUUCGUCUUCAAUAUUUUACAGUUAAAACGCUGACGUGAAGAAUAUUGGUAAUGCUAAAUCAACCACACACUUUCACAAGCCCAUAUUCACAAAAACUUGGCCAGUAUAAAGCAUGGAUAGAUAGCACCACUUUCUUUUCCAGUAAUUCAAUCCGAUUUUUUUACACAAUUUGACAAAAGCUAAUGCAAAUUCAUUUGUUCAUCGUACUGGAAAUGUUCGUCGCGAUUUGUUUUUCAUACUACUUCGAUAGAACUGCCCAAUUCUUCAAAACUGACAAAUUUCGAAUUACUAAAUAAAAUAAAAUUUCAAAAAUCCGGAAACUCUGAUUUAUAUGUGUUCAUGGUCUUCGUAUGCACCUGAUUAAAUUCAGUUCAUUGGAAGAUUCCAAUAUCAAUGCGUCCAAUUUUUUGGAAUCAAUUUUUAAUGCAUAGGUACUCUCUAAAAACAACAUUUCCUUGGGAUCCUAACUGGUCAGAGGAUAUGACUCUACCACCAUCAUAGUAACAAGCAUUACGGUUUUAUAAUGUAGUGGUAAAAACAAAUUUACUAAUCGGUAGGAAAUCGUAUUUAUAGUUUUUAAGAAUUCUAACCAUCAAUUACAUAAUUGUUUCUUUGGCAGUUAUAGUCUUUCUGCUCAUACGCAAUCAAAUUCUUACACUUUGACUUUACAAUGAAUAUCCUUUCGCUUCAAGGGCAAAAUUUAACGAUUUAGCAAUUUCAUUCUUAAAAAACAAACUCUUGUAUUACACAUUAUGUCGUAAAGUCGACUUCAUAGUGAUUCAUUUCUUAACUGGUUUUAAGUACAUUCAUAAAUGAAUUAUUGUACGAAGAGGAUCCCCCGACCUAACUCUAAAUCCUUGCGUGAAAUAAGAAAUUGCAAAGAAACAAAUUCAAAAUUAUUGCACCGAUUAUUACUUCUCGAUAUGCAAAAGAAAUGGAAACUCGCCAUAAUAAUUAUCUCGGCUCUUGUUUCACUCUCAACGUGUGACAAAAUCCAGCCCUGCAAAAGUCCUGAAGAAUGCAAUAAUCCUCCCGCAGGGUUCCAUGGUGUGACGUCUUGUGCCGUUAGUUCAUUUGAAGAAUGGAAGUCGAACAAUGGGUUUUGCUACUAUGGGCCUAAAUUGACUAAGCAUUUUCUUCAAUUGGGAAAAGGUACCUGCUUUGCACAGUUAAAGGCUUGCCUUGGAACGAAUAAGUGUUGUCCUGGUUUAAACUGCGAAGGCCCCGACGAUAAACCGGUUUGCUUGGGAGAUUAUGAUGAAAAUUAUAUAAAAAAAUUACAAUUUCCUAAAAAGCCUGUGUAAAGUUUCUUACUCAGUUAAUAUGUAAAUGAUAAUAAAGUGAUGAAAUGAAUUUAUCUAUGUAUAGAAAUUUA